rnacentral:tRNA from 1 species
GUUGAGGUGGCCGAGUGGGUUUAUGAGGCGGGAGACAAAAAUUCGAGAGGUUGGGGGUUCAAGUCCCACUCUUGACA